AAUACAAAGAUGGAUUUAGACUCUAAGACCUAGGAGGAGCCGCAAUUCACGACCCAUUUGACUCCCAUUUUUCUACCUCAUUAAAGACGAAAAUCAAUACCUAUCACAAAAGGAGGAAUCAGCGCUGCGAAAAUCGAGGCCCUUCUCCUUCGUCUUCAUUUCUGAAAACACACACAUCAGCCAUCACCCAUCUAAAAAACCUAGCCUUCCCAUCUCUUCUCCAUUCUCUCAUCUGAAGCCAUACACUCCUUUGCGCUAUCAAUCUCACACGGAUUUAAACCCCUUCCCAAGAGAUGAAACAAAAGGCUGAUUUCAAACAUUUUGAUUCUCGGAUCCGAGAGUAAGAAAACAGAGGAAUUUCCAAAAAAAAAGAAGAGAAAACAAAGAAGAAAGAGCGGGAUAGAUAGAACUUCCAUGAUCAUUUGAAUAUGCUGUUGGUUGUUUCGAUUUUUGGGGGUUUCCUUUGAGUUUGUUGCCGAUUUGAAAUGAGGUGUUGACAUGCGAGUCAGCUGAGAAUGGAUAUUCUGGAGUUUGAGGUGCUAGAAAUCGUUGCUGUCUGCUGCUGUUACUGCUGAUUUUUGCUUGCGCCGAGCUUUGCUGAGCUUCCUAGCUUCUUUUUGUUUCUUGCUUGUAGAGCUCUAUUUCUUUAUUUGUUCAAAAAUGAAUAAAGAAAAUAAAACACUACAAAGGCAAGACACUAGGCAUAUGAUGGCAUGAAUCUUGGGACAAACAUUUUGGUUGUUUACAUCGGCAACUAAUUUUGGUUUAAUUCCAGUCAUAUAAUUGUACUGUCGGAUGUUCUAAGUGCUAUGAAACCUACUUAUAUAUUCUUCACUUCGACACUUUGUCGGACUAUUUUAUUCGUUUACCAUGUAAUUUGUAAAUUGAUGUUAAAUGCUUGAUGAAGUUGGUCUUUGGAGCAUGUGGUAGAUCUCAGUAGCCCCUUUAUGAAAAAAAAAAUGAAUAAGAUUUUCCUGUUCA